AAUAUCAAGGUCAGUCCCACAUGCCUGUGUCUUUCAUGCUUUUGUUUAUGGGAAGGAGUUCAAAGGAUAGGGUGGAAUGUCAGGCCUUUCUCAGAUGAUGUAUUAACACUUUACACAAACCUUGGUUCAAGAGUUAGAAACGCCUCCUUUUCAACUGAACUCAACGCUGCUGAAAACAGAAGUUAAUGAUGAUCUAAGCUAUUUGGGGGACGGGAAGAAAAUGAAGGAUAAGCCGGAAUUAUAGUGGGACAAUUGAUCAAACAGUUAAAAGAGACCUGAGGCCACCUAAUUCAACCUCAACCGGAAUCAGAAUCUCUUUCAUGGUAAACUCGACAAGUGCCCACUCGGUCUUUGUUUGAAGACUUCCAGGGAGGGAGAAACACUUCCCCCCAAGACGCUUUACUCCAUUUCUGUCUAUCUGCGCCAUUACCAGAGAUGCCAGAUGAUGAAACUACACAACAUUACACGUAUGCUACUCCCUCCUGGAACAUCAAAGCAUCAGUCUACUAUCUACACUGACCAUGCCAUGGCAAUACCUUGAUCCAGGUUUAGAACCCUUUCCAUUGAAGGAAUGAUUAGUACAUGGACCAUCUAGGAAAGUCAUUCUGAGAAGCUAAAUAUAGAAUUUGGAAGUAUCGGCUGAGGAGCAAAUACACUGGAGGCCCACAGAGAUCUAAUCUGCUCACAACAUCCUCCUAUCAUCAAGGAAAAGCAGGUGAUACUGGUAAUGUCACGUCCAUAAGGGGGAAGGGGAAUAAGCCAAGUGCUUUAUAAUUAUUAUCUCAUUUGACCUACACAUCAACCUUGGGAGGUUGGUGCUCACUUUACAGGUGAGGAAACUGAGGCACUGCACUCCAGUAUCUUUGCCAAGAAAAUCCCAAACGGGGUCAUGAAGAGUUGGACAUGAGUGAAAUAACUCGACAACAGCAAUAACUAUCACCACCACUACCACCCCCACCACCACAAUCACCCAUGGUCACACUAGGGCUAAGAAUGACACAGUGGAUAGAGGACAG